rnacentral:rRNA from 1 species
AAGGCCACUUCGGUGGUACUCGAGCGGCGAACGGGUGAGUAACACGUGAGUAAUCUGCCCCUGGCUUUGGGAUAGCCACCGGAAACGGUGAUUAAUACCGGAUAUGACAGCGUCACGCAUGUGGUGUUGUGGAAAGUUUUUCGGCCAGGGAUGUGCUCGCGGCCUAUCAGCUUGAUGGUGAGGUAAUGGCUCACCAUGGCUUCGACGGGUAGCCGGCCUGAGAGGGUGACCGGUCACACUGGGACUGAGACACGGCCCAGACUCCUACGGGAGGCAGCAGUGGGGAAUAUUGGACAAUGGGCGGAAGCCUGAUCCAGCAACGCCGCGUGAGGGAUGACGGCCUUCGGGUUGUAAACCUCUUUCAGCAGGGACGAAGCGCAAGUGACGGUACCUGCAGAAGAAGCACCGGCCAACUACGUGCCAGCAGCCGCGGUAAUACGUAGGGUGCGAGCGUUGUCCGGAAUUAUUGGGCGUAAAGGGCUCGUAGGCGGUUUGUCGCGUCGGGAGUGAAAACGCCGUGCUUAACACGGCGCUUGCUUUCGAUACGGGCAGACUAGAGGUAUUCAGGGGAGAACGGAAUUCCUGGUGUAGCGGUGAAAUGCGCAGAUAUCAGGAGGAACACCGGUGGCGAAGGCGGUUCUCUGGGAAUGACCUGACGCUGAGGAGCGAAAGUGUGGGGAGCGAACAGGAUUAGAUACCCUGGUAGUCCACACCGUAAACGUUGGGCGCUAGGUGUGGGGUCCAUUCCACGGAUUCCGUG